rnacentral:lncRNA from 1 species
UUUUUGUCCUGGUUUUAGCCUGGUUUUAUCCAGGUUUUUGUCCUGGUUUUAUCCAAGUUUAAUCCUGGUUUUUAUCCAGGCUUUAUCCUGGUUUUUAUCCUGGUUUUAUCCAGGGUUUAACCUGGUUUAACUUGGUUUUUGUUCUGGUUUUUGUCCUGGUUUGAUUCUGGUUUUAACCUGGUUUUAUCCAGGGUUUAUCCAGGUUUUUGUCCUGGUUUUAACCCUGGUUUUAUCCAGGUUUUUAUCCUGAUUUUUGUCCUGGUUUUUAUCCUGGUUUUUGUCCUGGUUUUAUCCUGGUUUUUAUCCAGGUUUUAAACUGGUUUUAACCCUGGUUUCAUCCUGGUUUUAUCCUGGUUUUAUCCAGGGUUUAACCUGGUUUUUAUCCUGGUUUUUAUCCUGUUUUUAUACUGGUUUUGUCCAGGUUUUUAUCCUGGUUUUUAUCCUGUUUUUAUCCUGGUUUUAUCCUGGUUUUACUCCUGGUUUCAUCCUGGUUUUAACCUGGUUUUUAUUCUGGUUUUUGCCCUGGUUUUUGUCCUGGUUUUAUCCUGGUUUUGUCCAGGUUUUAUCCAGAUUUUAACCCUGGUUAUAUCCUGGUUUUAACCUGGUUUUAUCCAGAUUUUAUCCUGAUUUUAACCUGGUUUUUAUCCAGGUUUUAUCCUGAUUUUAACCUGGUUUUUAUCCUGGUUUUUGUCCUGGUUUUAUUCUGGUUUUUAUCCUCUUUUUAUCCUGGUUUUUGCCCUGGUUUUAAACUGGUUUUAACCUGGUUUUAGCCUGAUUUUAUCCUGGAUUUUGUCCUGGUUUUAACCAAGUUUUAUCCUGGUUUUACCCUUGGUUUCAUCCUGGUUUUAACCCUGGUUUUGUCCUGGUUUUAUCCAGAUUUUAACCCUGGUUAUAUCCUGGUUUUAACCUGGUUUUAUCCAGAUUUUAUCCUGUUUUUAACCCCUUUUUAACCCUUUUUUAACCUGUUUUUACCCUGGUUUUUGUCCUGGUUUUAUCCUGGUUUUGUCCAGGUUUUAUCCAGAUUUUAACCCUGGUUUUAUCCAGAUUUUAUCCUGUUUUUAACCCCUUUUUAACCCUUUUUUAACCCUUUUUUAACCCGUUUUUACCCUGGUUUUUGUCCUGGUUUUAUCCUGGUUUUGUCCAGGUUUUAUCCAGAUUUUAACCCUGGUUUUAUCCUGAUUUUAACCUGUUUUUAACCCCUUUUUAACCCUUUUUUAACCCUUUUUUAACCCGUUUUUAACCCGUUUUUACCCUGGUUUUUGCAU